ensembl:lncRNA MIR924HG MIR924 host gene
GGCAGGCGGGAAGUGCUCUAGCAGGGGAGUCUGACCUUGUGAGGGAAUACCUGUGUCCCCCCUUUUUUCCCCUUUUUACCCAAUAAAACCCUGCCUUACUCACCCUUUAAAUCAUCUGCGAGCCUGAAUUUUCAUGGCCGUGGGACGGACAAGAACUUUAUCUUCAGCUGAACUAAGAAAAAGUCCUGCAACAUUUUUGGCGCGCAAUGUGGGGGCACCAGAAGCGGGCACCGUUGAGCUGUUGCAACUGUUCUGCUGCUAUAGUUCCUGUGGCCUCCUUUGCACUCCUGUUUCAAUCUGAGGACACACACACCCACCCGGGAACCACACCCUGGACGCUACCUGCUGCCUGUACUCCAAAGUGGGGAGAGAACUUUAGAUUUGGGAAUUUUGGAAGUCAUCUGGCCUCUGGCCUCCUUGGAGACAAGGGAUCUUACUGUAGUAAUUUUCAGGCUGGUUUGCUAUGCAAUUGAGUUGUUAUUUUGGGGUGUUUCCACCUGUAGAGUGAAACUGCAGUGAGCCCAGCUAAGGAAAACGUAGGAAAGUAUAUAUAUCCUUGAGAUGGCUAUCUUACUCUCCAUCCCAUGUAUUGAUAAAUUUCCUCAGCCUUUUUAAAGAAAAAAACAAAACAUAACAAAACAAAGCAGUAAUCUACAAUUUGUUCUUUUAUUUUGACUGAUUUAAUUUUAAAUCUGAAAUCAACACCAUCCUGUGUGUCUAUUUGUAUUUUCUCCCCUUUUAUGGAUAUUAAUAAGUGGGUCAUCUGAAUGUCCUAGGAAAAAGUAAAAUGAAAAAAUUU